rnacentral:misc_RNA from 1 species
AACGCAACUUGCGCUCUCUGGUAUUCCGGAGAGCAUGCCUGUUUGAGUAUCAUGAAAUCUCAACCAUUAGGGUUUCUUAAUGGCUUGGAUUUGAGUGAUGGCAGUUUGCCUGCCUCGCUUUAAAAGAGUUAGCGUGUUUAACUUGUCGAUCUGGCGUAAUAAGUUUCGCUGGUGUAGACUUGGGAAGUGCGCUUCUAAUCGUCUUCGGACAAUUCUUGAACUCUGGUCUCAAAUCAGGUAGGACUACCCGCUGAACUUAA